AGAUGGAUGGACGGGAAGGAGAGAAAAAGCGCUUGCUUCAGGAAACGGGUUUCAGCUCUGGGACAUGUGCUGUGCCAGAUGAGAAGAAGCAUAGAGUUGAAGAGGUCUCUCAGUUUGAUGGGAGAUUUGAAGAUGAAUCUCAGUUUGAUGCACCUGUGGAUGGUACUGAUGACGAGCCUUUCAUAGACGAAGGUCCUGCACCUGAGAUUAUCCAGCCUACAGAAGGAGGCCGUGGACCGAGUACACAGCUUUGCGUUGAAGUGGAUGCACGCCCAGAGAUCAUCAGGGGCGUCCGGGUAGUCUCAAGACCACCCAGCCCUGAUGCACCUGUGGAUGGUACUGAUGACGAGCCUUUCAUAGACGAAGGUCCUGCACCUGAGAUUAUCCAGCCUACAGAAGGAGGCCGUGGACCGAGUACACAGUUUUGCGUUGAAGUGGAUGCACGCCCGGAGAUCAUCAGGGGCGUCCCGGUAGUCUCAGGACCACCCAGCCCUGAUGCAAAAUGUUGAGCUACUUUAUGAUUCGUACUCUUAUGUUCUGGUGCUGUAGUAUGUACUAUCUUUGUUAUGAUUUGUACGCCUUUGGCGCUAGAACUAUAAUUAAGCAUUCA